rnacentral:rRNA from 1 species
GAUGAACGCUGGCGGCGUGCCUAAUACAUGCAAGUCGAGCGAACGGACGAGAAGCUUGCUUCUCUGAUGUUAGCGGCGGACGGGUGAGUAACACGUGGAUAACCUACCUAUAAGACUGGGAUAACUUCGGGAAACCGGAGCUAAUACCGGAUAAUAUUUUGAACCGCAUGGUUCAAAAGUGAAAGACGGUCUUGCUGUCACUUAUAGAUGGAUCCGCGCUGCAUUAGCUAGUUGGUAAGGUAACGGCUUACCAAGGCAACGAUGCAUAGCCGACCUGAGAGGGUGAUCGGCCACACUGGAACUGAGACACGGUCCAGACUCCUACGGGAGGCCGCAGCAGGGAAUCUGCCGCAAUGGGCUAAAGUCUGACGGAGGAACGGCGCGUGAGUGAUGAAGGAGUGCAGAUCGGAAAAAUGUGAUACUAGAGAAGAACAUAUGUGGAAGUAACGGUGCAUAGCGAGACGGUACAAAGUCAGAAUGACACGGAUAACUAUGUU